rnacentral:pre_miRNA from 1 species
AUGUAGUGUGACAUGCCCGUUUGAUGAUAUACUCUGAUUUAUUAUCUGUUAUUUAAUUGCUUUGGGAUAACGGGGUGUUACAAUUGG